rnacentral:rRNA from 1 species
GGGCCCGCACAAGCAGCGGAGCAUGUGGUUUAAUUCGAAGCAACGCGAAGAACCUUACCAAGGCUUGACAUCCAAUUAAAGCUGUGGAAACGCAGUGUCCCUUCGGGGGAAUUGAGACAGGUGGUGCAUGGUUGUCGUCAGCUCGUGUCGUGAGAUGUUGGGUUAAGUCCCGCAACGAGCGCAACCCCUGUUGCCAGUUACCAGCGCGUAAAGGCGGGAACUCUGGUGAGACUGCCGGGGACAACUCGGAGGAAGGUGGGGACGACGUCAAAUCAUCAUGCCCCUUACGUCUUGGGCUACACACGUGCUACAAUGGCUGUAACAAAGGGAAGCGACGGCGCAAGCCGAAGCGGAUCUCAGAAAAGCAGUCCCAGUUCGGAUUGUGGGCUGCAACCCGCCCACAUGAAGUCGGAGUUGCUAGUAAUCGCGGAUCAGAAUGCCG